AUGACACCAACAAGAGAUCGGGCUUGGACAAUGCAGGAUCAUCUGAGUUGUUAUGAAGGCCUGGGAGUGGUGGCAGGGUUUGUCAGGACCAGCAUGUUGCCAGAUACAGCUAGUGGGUUCAGAGUGGAAUGGAAAUAGAAUUUGGAAGGAAUCCCAGAAGUGCUAGAUGGUAAGUGGGAUCUUUUUGAUUUUUUAAAAAGUAAUCUCUACACCCAAUGUGGGGCUCAGACUCACAACCCUGAGAUCAAGAGUUGCACGCUUUACUGACUGCGCCAGCCAGGCACCCCAAGCCAGGAUUUUUUUAUUAAGACACCCCUGUUGACCUCUUUGAGGCAUUCCUCUCUAUUUUACCUCGUCCUCUGGGUAGAAUAUGGCUGGGGUUUCCUAACUUGGAAGAACUCCAUAACAGUCAAGGAAUUAUAGGAAAUGAUAUGUCCCUGAUAGACUGGAGAGAGGAAAGCCUUUACUAUAGAACUUAGAACCCUCAGCCGAGUAGAAGUGGCUCAGGAACUUUACUUGGAGCUCUCAAAGACAUGUUUCUCCAUAGUUGGUUUGGAAGUGAUGCUGCCUUAGGCCAACAGAGACUCAUGACAUAUCAGGUUGAAAACAGUGUAGUGUUCGGGUACCCAGUAACCAUGUCAGUAUGAAGUUCUCCAAAUUGCAGGCCAUAAAAUGCUUAAAGUGAAGGUACUCUACAACCCAAAUAACAUUCCAAUAUGUUCAUAUUGAUUGAAGCUUGUCUGGAGGCUAUUUUCCACUUGUCUCCUUCCAGAAUGAAGGUGAAGUUAUAGGCACCCAGGAGUUUGUUUUUGUUUUUGUUUUUGUUUUUUUUUAUUUUUUUGACUAGGUACCACACCCAAUGUGGAGCCCAAUGUGGGACUUGACAUCACAACCCUGAUAUCAAGACCUGAGCUGAGACCAAGAGUUGGACACUUAACUGACUAAGCCCCCCAGGCACCCCACGGAGUUCUUUUUUUUUUUUUUUUUUUUAAAGAUUUUAUUUAUUUAUUUGAGAGAGAGAGAAUGCCUGUGAGCAGAGGGGAGGGGCAGACAGAGAAAGAAUCUCAAACAGGUUCCAUGCCAUGCGCAGAGCCCAACAUGGGGCUUGAUCCCAGAACCCUGAGAUCAUGACCCGAGC
rnacentral:lncRNA from 1 species